GAUGAACGCUGGCGGCGUGCCUAAUACAUGCAAGUCGAGCGAACGGACGAGAAGCUUGCUUCUCUGAUGUUAGCGGCGGACGGGUGAGUAACACGUGGAUAACCUACCUAUAAGACUGGGAUAACUUCGGGAAACCGGAGCUAAUACCGGAUAAUAUUUUGAACCGCAUGGUUCAAAAGUGAAAGACGGUCUUGCUGUCACUUAUAGAUGGAUCCGCGCUGCAUUAGCUAGUUGGUAAGGUAACGGCUUACCAAGGCAACGAUGCAUAGCCGACCUGAGAGGGUGAUCGGCCACACUGGAACUGAGACACGGUCCAGACUCCUACGGGAGGCAGCAGUAGGGAAUCUUCCGCAAUGGGCGAAAGCCUGACGGAGCAACGCCGCGUGAGUGAUGAAGGUCUUCGGAUCGUAAAACUCUGUUAUUAGGGAAGAACAUAUGUGUAAGUAACUGUGCACAUCUUGACGGUACCUAAUCAGAAAGCCACGGCUAACUACGUGCCAGCAGCCGCGGUAAUACGUAGGUGGCAAGCGUUAUCCGGGAAUUAUGGGCGUAAAGCGCGCGUAGGCGGUUUUUUAGUCUGAUGUGAAAGCCCACGGCUCAACCGUGGAGGGUCAUUGGAAACUGGAAAACUUGAGUGCAGAAGAGGAAAGUGGAAUUCCAUGUGUAGCGGUGAAAUGCGCAGAGAUAUGGAGGAACACCAGUGGCGAAGGCGACUUUCUGGUCUGUAACUGACGCUGAUGUGCGAAAGCGUGGGGAUCAAACAGGAUUAGAUACCCUGGUAGUCCACGCCGUAAACGAUGAGUGCUAAGUGUUAGGGGGUUUCCGCCCCUUAGUGCUGCAGCUAACGCAUUAAGCACUCCGCCUGGGGAGUACGACCGCAAGGUUGAAACUCAAAGGAAUUGACGGGGACCCGCACAAGCGGUGGAGCAUGUGGUUUAAUUCGAAGCAACGCGAAGAACCUUACCAAAUCUUGACAUCCUUUGACAACUCUAGAGAUAGAGCCUUCCCCUUCGGGGGACAAAGUGACAGGUGGUGCAUGGUUGUCGUCAGCUCGUGUCGUGAGAUGUUGGGUUAAGUCCCGCAACGAGCGCAACCCUUAAGCUUAGUUGCCAUCAUUAAGUUGGGCACUCUAAGUUGACUGCCGGUGACAAACCGGAGGAAGGUGGGGAUGACGUCAAAUCAUCAUGCCCCUUAUGAUUUGGGCUACACACGUGCUACAAUGGACAAUACAAAGGGCAGCGAAACCGCGAGGUCAAGCAAAUCCCAUAAAGUUGUUCUCAGUUCGGAUUGUAGUCUGCAACUCGACUACAUGAAGCUGGAAUCGCUAGUAAUCGUAGAUCAGCAUGCUACGGUGAAUACGUUCCCAGGUCU
rnacentral:rRNA from 1 species